CAAAAUUAUUGUAUUGUAUAUCAUGUUGCCGAAUACUGGCUGAUACAAGGUCAUAUUUCUCUAGUUAUUUAAAUCAGCAUAAGAUACCUACGAAGUUGUUGACCUCUGAGGGGGAUGUAUCCUCCCCAGCUCCCUCUACUAUAUAAACCCAGCAAACGUACAAACCUGAUUUCUCAUACCAUCUUCCAUUUCUCAUUUGCUGAUCAGAUAAAUAUGGCCUUGAUCGCAUUCCUGGCUCUCUCUCUUCUCCUUAGUGGAGCUCUUGGCGAGCUUGUAUGCGAGCAGUUGCCGGUUGAUCUCUGCUCAUAUUCAAUUGCAACUUCUGGGAAGCGAUGUUUGCUGGAGAAUUACGCGACGAAAGAUGGAGGUGUGAAGUACCAAUGCAAGACUUCUGAGGUUGUUGUAGAUAAACUGAACGAAUGGAUUGAGAUCGAUGAAUGUAUAACUGCAUGUGGCCUCAGUAGAAACACUGUUGGUAUCUCAUCAGACUCUCUCCUUCAGCCUCAGUUUUUACUAAACUUUGCUCCAAGUCGUGCUCUCAAGCUUGCCCCAACAUCGUCGAUCUCUACUCCAAUUUGGCCCUAGCAGAAGGAGUUUACUUGCCAAACCUGUGCGCCAGUCCCCGCCGUGCCAUGUACCAGACUAGAAGCAAUGGCGAUGCAGCCCCUGCACCCGCCUCUGUUGGAGCCCUUUCACCCGAAUCUGCCAUAUCUGGUGCUGCUGAUGUCGCUUGCGCUCCAACUUCCAUUUGAUUCUGUUAUUGGAGUAAUUUAUACCAUGUUUAUCAAUUAGAGAUCAUGUACGAUCCUUCUGCUGUAUAGUUCAAAAGGGAUUAAAAAAACAGAGAAUACCGAGCCUAUUAUUAUAUACACAAUCUCUCCUGUAAUCGCGAUAAUAAUAAUUAGGAGUACUUUCUAUGCAUGCCUGUUUAAAUA